UACGGGGGGGGCAAGCGUUGUUCGGAAUUACUGGGCGUAAAGGGCUCGUAGGCGCCAACUAAGUCAGACGUGAAAUCCCUCGGCUUAACCGGGGAACUGCGUCUGAUACUGGAUGGCUGGAGAUUGGGAGAGGGAUGCGGAAUUCCAGGUGUAGCGGUGAAAUGCGCAGAUAUCAGGAGGAACACCAAUGGCGAAGGCAGCUCGCUGGGACGUGACUGACGCUGAGGCACGAAAGCGUGGGGAGCAAACAGG
rnacentral:rRNA from 1 species